CUAACACAUGCAAGUCGUACGAGAAAGGGCUUCGGCCCUGAGUAGAGUGGCGCACGGGUGAGUAACGCGUGGGUAAUCUGCCCUUGGAUUUGGAAUAACUCCGCGAAAGUGGAGCUAAUACCGGAUAGUCUGGCUUUUUAACGAAGUCGGUAAAGGAUGCCUCUGCAUAUGCAUUCGUCCGAGGAUGAGCCCGCGUCUCAUUAGCUAGUUGGUAGGGUAAUGGCCUACCAAGGCAACGAUGAGUAGCUGGUCUGAGAGGAUGAUCAGCCACACUGGAACUGAAACACGGUCCAGACUCCUACGGGAGGCAGCAGUGGGGAAUAUUGCGCAAUGGGCGAAAGCCUGACGCAGCAACGCCGUGUGAGGGAUGAAGGCUUUCGGGUCGUAAACCUCUGUCGGAAGGGAAGAACGGGCAUUGGUCUAAUAGGCCUUUGUUUUGACGGUACCUUUAGAGGAAGCACCGGCUAACUCCGUGCCAGCAGCCGCGGUAAUA
rnacentral:rRNA from 1 species